CAGGAAUUUAUUUCUCACAGCUUCUGAAGUCUGGGAAGUCCAAGCUCAAGGUGAAGCCUCCUCAGGUGGCAAAGAGCAGAAGCACAAAAGAGACCAAACUCCCUCCCUCAAGCUCUUUUACAAGAACACUGAGACAUUCACAAGUGCUGAGUCCUCAAACCUACUAACCUCCUGAAGGCUACACCUCAAAUACGGAUUAAAUUUUCGCAUGAGUUUUGAGGGACACCCAUUCAAAGCAUAGCACCCUUCGGCUUCAGAGAAGCUCCAGCCCUGUUGUCACCAAGCAGGUUCCCCCUAGGCAGAGCGCCAAGAAGCAGCCCAGGCGAUCCCAAGGCGCACAAGUGCUCUCACCAGGCUGCGCGCUGGCGGGUCGGUGCACAGGGACGGGGUCGCCGCCCACGCGCGCUUGGUUCAGGGAGCCCAGGCUGUCCCUACCCGCGGCUACAAAAGCUCGCCGAGUCUUCCUGUCCACCCAAUCGCCCCACAUGUCAGCGGUUGGUCGCCUCGCGGUGCAGUGCUGGGCACGCGAGCCCCUCCCGCAGUCAUUCUCAGCACAAGCACCAGCCUGGAGCCCCGCAGCGACAGAGCUGAGAGCCCCCAAGCCGCAGAGGUCGUGCGGAGCAGGCCUAAGGCAAUAGCUAAUUGAGACUAUGCAUCACUAUUAAGGCAUCUUCACUAAAGGGCGCUGUGGAAACGCUGCCUGAGAUGCAGACACCUGUCAGAAGGGGGCUAAAUUUCAAACAAGGAACGUGGUGUUGCAUCACAAUAAAGUAAGUGUCCAGAGGGAACUUCUGCAGUACUGUGUUUUCCAACGUGCUGAGUGAUAUUGUAGGAGACUAUUCUUUUGCUGGAAUUUCUAUGAAUACAUCUAUGAAUACAUUUAAAAUAAAAAGUGUUUUUUGUUUUUUUUUUUGAGAUGGAGUUUCACUCUUAUUGCCCAGGCUGGAGUGCAAUGGCGCUAUCUUGGCUCAUGCAACCUCUGCCUCCUGGGUUCAUGCUAUUCUACCUCAGCCUCCUGAGUAGCUGGGAUUACAGGCAUGAGCCACCACGCCCAGAUAAUUUUUUGUACUUUUAGUAGAGAUGGGGUUUCUCCAUGUUGGUUAGGCUCGUCUCGAACUCCUGACUUCAGGUGAUCCGCCCGCCUUGGCCUCCCAAAGUGCUGGGAUUACGGGUGUGAGCUACUGUGCCCAGCCAAAAUGUGUUUUUUUAAUAUUUAAUUUUGUGGCCAGGAGUCUCACGCCUGUUAUCCCAGCACUUUGGGAGGCCGAGGCGAGUGGAUCACGAGGUCAAGAGAUCGAGACCAUCCUGGCCAACAUGGUGAAAACCUGUCUCUACUAAUAAUAGAAAAAUUAGCUGGGCAUGGUGGCAUGUGCCUGUAGUCUCAGAUACUUGGGAGGCUGAGGCAGGAGAAUCGUUUGAACCUGAGAGGCGGAGGUGGCAGUGAGCCGAGAUUGCGCCACUGCACUCCAGCCUGAAGACAGAGCAAGACUACGCCUCCAAAAAAAUAAAAAAAAGAAAGAAAAAAUUGUUUUGGUACAUAGUAGGUGUAUAUAUUUAUGGGAUAUGUGAGAUAUUAUGAUACAGAAAUGCAAUGUGAAAUAACCACUUCAUGGAGAAUGGGGUAUCCAUCCCCUCAAGCGUUUAUCCAUUGAGUUACAAACAAUCCAAUUACACUCUUUAAGUUAUUUUAACAUGUACCAUUAAGUUAUUACUGACUAUAGUUACCCUGUUGUGCUAUCAAAUAGUUGGUCUUAUUCAUUCUUUCUAAUUACUUUCUUGGUAGUCAAAAUAAAAUGUUUAUUUUUAUGACUUUCUUCUUUUUUUUUUUUUUUUUUUUGAGAUGGAGUCUCGCUGUGUUGCCCAGGCUGGAAUGCAGUGGCGUGAUCUCGGCUCACUGCAACCUCCGCCUCCCGGGUUCACACCAUUCUCCUGCCUCAGCCUCCCGAGUAGCUGGGGCUACAGGCGCCACCGCUACCACGCCCGGCUAAUUUUUUGUAUUUUUAGUAGAGACGGGGUUUCACUGUGUUAGCCAGGAUGGUCUCAAUCUCCUGACCUCAUGAUUCACAUGCCUCGGCCUCCCAAAGUGCUGGGAUUACAGGUGAGAGUCACUGCACCCGGCCUCCAUAUACCAGUGAUAGCAGUGUUUUAUUUACAGUAAUUAUAGGUUUUUUUUUUUUGAGACAGAGUUUCACUCUUGUUGCCCAGGCUGGAGUGCAAUGGUGUGAUCUCAGCUCACUGCAACCUCCACCUCCUGGGUUUAAGCGAUUCUCCUGCCUCAGCCUCCCAAGUAGCUGGGAUUACAGAGGUGCCUGCCACCAUGCCUGGCUAAUUUUUUGUAUUUUUAGUAGGGACGGGGUUUCGCGAUGUUGGCCAGCCUGGUCUCAAACUCCUGACCUCAAGUAAUCUGCCCGCCUCUGCCUCCCAAAGUGCUGGGAUUACAGGCGUGAACCACCACGCGCGGCCUCAAACUCAUAUUUGAAAUUUAGAGAGAUUGCCAAGACCCUAGAGUUUUGCAUGUUCUCACAAAUUGAUUUCGUUAGUUCAAAUUUCAUACCACUUUUUCUAACUGAUGAUUCUUACACCUUGACAGGUGACUGAGUUCAAUAUGAUUAGAGCUGAACCAUUUCAAAAAGCAGCACAAGUGGCGACUGCCAGUAACCGACAAUAACCGAGUUUAAUCCCCCUUUUCUGCUCCUUCCCUCUGAUGGAAUUCUCAUUUUCCCUGGCCUCCCCAUUGACAUUCAUCCAAUGCCCAUGCCGCUGGAUCAGUCUUGCUGGAGCCACAUCCAACUUAGAAAGAUGAAGGACUUCCAACCUUUUGGGAGAUGACAAUGUGUUAUCAAAAUCAACAAACUAAUAGAUUGACUUCCUUUGCAUAUUUUUGCAAUGUUCUGUGAGAUAUCAAGUCACUUCCCUGGUAGUUUCUUAUUCAGUAUUUCACUGUACUGCUUUAAAAAAAAAAAAAAAGUCAGGCCUCAACCCUAACAGAGUCACUUGGAGAUCUUGUUAAAAAGUUGAGUUUAGAGUCUGAUACAGGUUUUGAGAUGGCCCUAAGAACUUAGGUUUUUUCAUAGGCUCUCUGGGCAACUUCUAUGGGGCAGAGGUUUAGAAAGCUAGGAGUAAUCUGCCAGGUAUCAGGAAACCACUAGAUGGCAGGGCCAUCCCUUGGAGCCCGUUCUUCAAUCAAGAAAGCUGUCAGAGAGGAAAGUGGAGUGGGGAAGAGUCCAAGUACACAUGUUAAAUGCACGUUAAUAAGUGGAUGGUGAAGAUGAGCUUAGGUGUUGGGUCUUAGGGGGAGAGUGCGAAGGAUUCCUGUCACUUCUCACCUCUUUCUAGCUUUAUCUCCAGUAUUUGAAAUGCCUGGAGGCUCCUUAACUGAAACUCUGCACUAGUCAACUGUACUAUAGCACAACCACUUUAAAAAGGUGAAAGUAGGAAAACUAGCUCAAUGAGAGGGCUAAUAUUUUUUAUGGGGCCAAUGAUUUGAAUUGGUAGACAUAUAUGCCCUCCUACAUGAUAUAGGAGACAGAGUGCAAAAACCAAACCAAAAUGUUUUUUCCUACCCUCACUUACCACACGCUACUCCUCACAUGCCAAGCAAGCAAGCAAGCAAUUUUUCUGCAGAUUCUGCAGUGCACACCAGCUGGGUGUCCUCUAAUUCAACUAAAUUCUUACAGUAGCUAUCUAGAGAUACUGUCAGAUCCCACAGGUUAAGGGCUCAGUCCCACAAGACUAUCCCCCACUUCAGAGGCCAGUUAUAAGACUGAAUUGCCAGAACUUCUGAUCCACUGGCUACAAAUUGGGGCUCCCAAGACCCUGCCCAGGGGUUCAAUUAAUUUGUUACAGUGGCUCACAGAGCUCAG
ensembl:lincRNA